rnacentral:lncRNA from 1 species
UCUUCGCCUUUAAAAGGUCUCCACUGCUGGGUCAUCACGGCUUAAGUGUCUGGCGACCAGAGCGAUGCGUCUCUUCGGGACGAAAACACAGCCUGAGACCUAGGUCCCUACUCGCCCACGGAGGAACGGGGGAAUUAAUGGCGCAACAGCCAAAGAAAGAUAUAUAGAGUACGCAAAAAAAAAAAAAUUAUGGGGAAGCUCCAUAGAGCUGCCUCAUCCGGAGACCGUUGCAAACUGCAGUGGCUUUUGUUGGCCAAAGGGAAAGAUAUUAAAGAAGUAGACGAUCUGAAGAGAUGAGCUCUCAUGAUGGCCAUUAGUAAUAGGCUUAAUCCAACAAGCCUAGUCCAACUUAUUCUUCAAUGUGAUGUUGACCUCUCUUGAGAAGAUGAUUUUGGAUGGACAAUUAGAGACUACGCUCAUGUCAGUGGUGUUAGAGGAGCAAGUUGAAAAUGAAAGGAGACAACUAUCGUUCUUUGGCUGAGGAUCUCAUAAUGGAACAGAGACCCAAUCCUAUGGGAUGCAUUGACUGUAUCUCCUUUUUGCUGAUUUCAAAUGCUUCUUGAUAGUCAUCAAGAAUCAUUUCUUCAGUAUGUGAAGACUAAAGUUAAUGAACUCUUCCCUGAAGUCAAAAUCAAUAGUCCAGAAUGGGCUUCUGAUAUUGGAUUUACUUUGGGCAGACCUGCCUUGGACAAAAAAGGUAGGACUGACAAACCUAAAUAAAUACUUAAUUUUAUAUCUAAUGAAAGAUAGAUUUUAAAAUUGAAAUGCUUAUUUUUCUAUUUCCAUUUUAUGCUUUUAAGUAAUAGUAUACUAAUUUAUUUUUACUUAAUUUUUAUUCUUGGAGUUUCAUUAUCUUGAAACUUUAAAAAUAACCUGAAAAUCUUUUCUAUUAUUAACAC